rnacentral:rRNA from 1 species
GACGAACGCUGGCGGCGUGCUUAACACAUGCAAGUCGAACGGAAAGGCCCUGCUUUUGUGGGGUGCUCGAGUGGCGAACGGGUGAGUAACACGUGAGUAACCUGCCCUUGACUUUGGGAUAACUUCAGGAAACUGGGGCUAAUAACGGAUAGGAGCUCCUGCUGCAUGGUGGGGGUUGGAAAGGUUCGGCGGUUGGGGAUGGACUCGCGGCUUAUCAGCUUGUUGGUGGGGUAGUGGCUUACCAAGGCUUUGACGGGUAGCCGGCCUGAGAGGGUGACCGGCCACAUUGGGACUGAGAUACGGCCCAGACUCCUACGGGAGGCAGCAGUGGGGAAUAUUGCACAAUGGGCGGAAGCCUGAUGCAGCAACGCCGCGUGCGGGAUGACGGCCUUCGGGUUGUAAACCGCUUUCGCCUGUGACGAAGCGUGAGUGACGGUAAUGGGUAAAGAAGCACCGGCUAACUACGCG